GCUUCCGUAGCUCAGUUGGUUAGAGCUUCGUACUAAUAAAAAUUAGUGAUGCGGAGGCCGCAGGUUCAAGCCCUGCCGGGAGCA
rnacentral:tRNA from 1 species